UACAGAGGGUGCAAGCGUUGUUCGGAAUUAUUGGGCGUAAAGCGCGCGUAGGCGGCUUUGCAAGUCGGGUGUGAAAUCCCCAGGCUUAACCUGGGAACUGCAUUCGAGACUGCAUUGCUAGAGUAUGGGAGAGGGAAGUGGAAUUUCCGGUGUAGCGGUGAAAUGCGUAGAUAUCGGAAGGAACAUCAGUGGCGAAAGCGGCUCUCUGGGACGGUACUGACGCUGAGACGCGAAAGCGUGGGGAGCAAACAGG
rnacentral:rRNA from 1 species